UCGGGUGUGGUGCAUGGUGCACGGCUGCCCAGAUUAAUGGGAAAUGAACGCGACUAAUUGUUUGACUGGCAGCAAGCCGGGGUUCGACUCCCCGCGCCCGGA